AUACAUGCAAGUCGUACGCACUGGCCCAACUGAUUGAUGGUGCUUGCACCUGAUUGACGAUGGAUCACCAGUGAGUGGCGGACGGGUGAGUAACACGUAGGUAACCUGCCCCGGAGCGGGGGAUAACAUUUGGAAACAGAUGCUAAUACCGCAUAACAACAAAAGCCACAUGGCUUUUGUUUGAAAGAUGGCUUUGGCUAUCACUCUGGGAUGGACCUGCGGUGCAUUAGCUAGUUGGUAAGGUAACGGCUUACCAAGGCGAUGAUGCAUAGCCGAGUUGAGAGACUGAUCGGCCACAAUGGAACUGAGACACGGUCCAUACUCCUACGGGAGGCAGCAGUAGGGAAUCUUCCACAAUGGGCGCAAGCCUGAUGGAGCAACACCGCGUGAGUGAAGAAGGGUUUCGGCUCGUAAAGCUCUGUUGUUGGAGAAGAACGUGCGUGAGAGUAACUGUUCACGCAGUGACGGUAUCCAACCAGAAAGUCACGGCUAACUACGUGCCAGCAGCCGCGGUAAUACGUAGGUGGCAAGCGUUAUCCGGAUUUAUUGGGCGUAAAGCGAGCGCAGGCGGUUGCUUAGGUCUGAUGUGAAAGCCUUCGGCUUAACCGAAGAAGUGCAUCGGAAACCGGGCAACUUGAGUGCAGAAGAGGACAGUGGAACUCCAUGUGUAGCGGUGGAAUGCGUAGAUAUAUGGAAGAACACCAGUGGCGAAGGCGGCUGUCUGGUCUGCAACUGACGCUGAGGCUCGAAAGCAUGGGUAGCGAACAGGAUUAGAUACCCUGGUAGUCCAUGCCGUAAACGAUGAGUGCUAGGUGUUGGAGGGUUUCCGCCCUUCAGUGCCGGAGCUAACGCAUUAAGCACUCCGCCUGGGGAGUACGACCGCAAGGUUGAAACUCAAAGGAAUUGACGGGGGCCCGCACAAGCGGUGGAGCAUGUGG
rnacentral:rRNA from 1 species